rnacentral:rRNA from 1 species
CCUACGGGCGGCUGCAGUAAGGAAUAUUGGUCAAUGGACGAAAGUCUGAACCAGCCAUCCCGCGUGCAGGAUGAAAGCCCUAUGGGUUGUAAACUGCUUUUAGCAGAGAAGAAAAGCUUUCAUUAAUGAGAGUCUGACGGUAUCUGCAGAAUAAGCACCGGCUAACUCCGUGCCAGCAGCCGCGGUAAUACGGAGGGUGCGGGCGUUAUCCGGAAUUACUGGGUUUAAAGGGUGCGUAGACGGAAUAUUAGAAAUCUUGUCGCUUAACGAUAAAAGUGCGAAUGAUACUGGUACGCGUGAAUUGGGUUGAGGUGAGCGGAAUGUGACAUGUAGCGGUGAAAUGCAUAGAUAUGUCAUGGAACACCAAUUGCGAAGGCAGCUAACUGGGCCUUGAUUGACGCUGAGGCACGAAAGCGUGGGUAGCGAACAGGGUUAGAUACCCUUGUAGUC